rnacentral:lncRNA from 1 species
AUGCCCCUUGGUAAUUUAUUUAUUACCUUAGUUUAUGUGGCCAUUAAUUUUUGCAGGGGCCGCCAAUGGAGACUUCCACCAACAGUUUAUCAGCCAAACCAAAAAAGGGUCAAAAGAACAAAAGAAGCAAUCAUCGUCGUUCUAUGGGGGAGUUAUUGGUGCCUCUGUUUUUGUCCAAGUUUCCCAUUCCUUCUAAUUCCAAUGUGUCUCAUAAAAAAAGUCUUGAAUGAGUGA